rnacentral:rRNA from 1 species
GACGAACGCUGGCGGCGUGCUUAACACAUGCAAGUCGUACGGUAAGGCCCUUUCGGGGGUACACGAGUGGCGAACGGGUGAGUAACACGUGAGUAACCUGCCCACAACUUUGGGAUAACGCUAGGAAACUGGUGCUAAUACUGGAUAUGUGCUCCUGCUGCAUGGUGGGGGUUGGAAAGCUCCGGCGGUUGUGGAUGGACUCGCGGCCUAUCAGCUUGUUGGUGGGGUAGUGGCCUACCAAGGCGGCGACGGGUAGCCGGCCUGAGAGGGUGACCGGCCACAUUGGGACUGAGAUACGGCCCAGACUCCUACGGGAGGCAGCA